AUUGAACGCUGGCGGCAUGCCUUACACAUGCAAGUCGAACGGUAACGGGCCUUCGGGUGCCGACGAGUGGCGAACGGGUGAGUAAUGCAUCGGAACGUACCUUUCAGUGGGGGAUAACGUAGCGAAAGUUACGCUAAUACCGCAUAUUCUGUGAGCAGGAAAGCAGGGGAUCGCAAGACCUUGCGCUGAUUGAGCGGCCGAUGUCAGAUUAGCUAGUUGGUGAGGUAAAGGCUCGCCAAGGCGACGAUCUGUAGCGGGUCUGAGAGGAUGAUCCGCCACACUGGAACUGAGACACGGUCCAGACUCCUACGGGAGGCAGCAGUGGGGAAUUUUGGACAAUGGGGGCAACCCUGAUCCAGCCAUGCCGCGUGAGUGAAGAAGGCCUUCGGGUUGUAAAGCUCUUUCGGCCGGGAAGAAAUCGUAUGGGUUAAUACCCUGUGCGGAUGACGGUACCGGCAUAAGAAGCACCGGCUAACUACGUGCCAGCCGCCGCCGUAAAAC
rnacentral:rRNA from 1 species